rnacentral:rRNA from 1 species
AUGGCAGAAUGCUUCAAUAAGGUGCUCAAGGGUGUACGUGCAUUACCCGUGACGGCAAUAGUUCAAUACACAUUUGACAAGAUGAAUGGAUACUUUUUAAAGUACUCAAUGGAGACGGAUAAGCAGAUUGCUGGUGAGAACAAGGAUAAGCACAAGUACUAUUUCCCACCAAAGGUUGAAGAAUGGUUGGACUUUCAAUCACGAAAGGCAGACUCCCAAGAAGCUGUACUAUAUGACGACAACGAGUGGAAGUAUGAAGUGAAAGAGCCUGGAGUAACCACAAACGAUGGGCACCAACACGGAGGCCGCGCUUUCAAGGUCUCCCUAAAACAGUGUGAUUGCAGCUGCAUGAGGCCAUCGUUGCUUCAUCUCCCAUGCUCGCACUUAUUAAAUGCAUCCCGUGUUAGGAAUGUGGACGUCAAUCACCCUCUUACCGUGAGGGAGUCCGAGUUCUCAAUCAUGACGGUAAAGAAUACAUGGGCUCCCCGGUUUCAGCCAUACUUGGACCAAUAAUCACAAUGGCCGGAGUAUCAUGGAGUUCAACUAUGGCCGGACCCG